UCAAAAUUCAAUAAAUUUAAUUUCUUUUUAAAAUUAUAAAAUACCAAACAAAUAUGAUUCCUUUGAAUAAAAAAUGAUACCAUACAACAAAAGCCCCUGAUUAGAAAGAAAUUUAGAAAAAUAAAUUGAGAAACAAUUGUAUNGUCACAUCAAGAUANACUAGAAGUCAAUGUAAUCUCAUUACAGAAUGUAAUCUCAUUACAAAAGUAGUUACAAAGAAAGAAAUGUUACUUAAUUCAUAAUAAACUAGGUAUAGUUUUAUCCUAAAACAAUAUCAUAAACUUUCUAAAUGUUACUUCCAUCAAAUCAUUGUCUUGUACCCAAAGGAGACUCUGACUCAUUUGCAUCACGAGCUUGCUGAAAUAAUAUAAAAAAAAUUAAUAAAAUAAACUCAAUUACAUGUACUCACAUUUUGUAAAUAUAUAAAAAAAUAAUCAAAUAAAAUUCAGUUUUAAAAGUCAUUAUUCAAUAAUGAAAACACAAAGUUAAGGCAACAAAAUUCACAUGUUAACAUAUUAAAGCAUCAAAUACCCAACAACACAACUUGGGUAAAAGUAAAUCUAAUAGAAGUAAAUUACUUACAUAGGAAAGGAUCACCAUUUGGUAGAUUUUAAAUUGCUUACUGCAUAGAUUCAUAGCACCAAAAACAAGAGGAAAAGCAAGUUUGAAUGUUUGAUAAAGGAGGCAAAAUGGGAGGGAGAGUUUUA
rnacentral:lncRNA from 1 species